GGCGAGAAUACAAACAUUGGUCUGGUUCUGGCGACGAGAAUCAGCCGUGUAUUGGUCGGCGCGAAAUCAAUCUUUAGGGAUGAGCAGCAGAUAUAUCGAUCCGCCCAAACCGAUCCGCCGCAUUUUAGACGGAUGUGUGAUGACGAGCGGACGGUUGCAGAUUGAUUUUUUUCAAUCUGCCUAGUUUUGGACGGAUGGUGGAUUUAAGGUACCUUUGACCGCAACUGAACCGCCAAAUUGCAAGCACCCCUAGUAAUUUGUAAGAUUUUGUGUUUUUAAUCUGUUUAGAUAUUAUGUUUGUGUUUUUAAUUGAAAAAGAGUCUAAAAUUUCUGUUGAAUA